rnacentral:rRNA from 1 species
AGCCCAGAUCAUCAGCUAAGGUCCCAAAAUUUAGGUUAAGUGGUUAAGGAAGUAAGAUUACUAAAACAGCUAGGAGGUUGGCUUAGAAGCAGCCAUCCUUUAAAGAGUGCGUAACAGCUCGCUGGUCGAGUGUUCUUGCGCCGAAAAUACACGGAGCUUAAGCUUGUUACCGAAGCUGCGGAUUGUCUAUCUUCGGAUAGAUAGUGGUAGAGGAGCGUUCCAUGGUAGGUUGAAGCUGGAUCGUGAGGUCUGGUGGACGAAAUGGAAGUGAGAAUGUCGGCAUAAGUAACGAAAAGGUAGGUUGAAAUCCUACCCGCCGAAAGUCUAAGGUUUCCUGGGGAAGGUUCGUCCGCCCAGGGUAAGUCGAUAUCUAAGUUGAGGCCAGAGUAACUGGCGUAAGCGAUGGCUAACCGGUUAAUAUUCCGGUACCGCCUGCAUUGUUAACCAGAGGGACGCAGAAGGAUAGCUCAUAACACUUAUUGGAUUGUGGCACCUAUUUAUUUAGGGACGUGAGUGAGUCCACGCUGCCAAGAAAAGCUCUGGGGAUUGGUGUGGGUGAUCGUACUAUAAACCGACACAGGUGGACAGGCUGAACAAGCCAAGGCGCGCGAGAUAACUCUCUCUAAGGAACUCGGCAAAUUAGUUCCGUAACUUCGGGAGAAGGAACGCCUCAUUUAUUUGAGGUCACAGAUACCAGCUCCAUGCAACUGUUUAACAAAAACACAGCUCUCUGCUAACCCGUAAGGGGAUGUAUAGGGGGCGAUGCCUGCCCAGUGCUGGAACGUUAAGGGGUGGCUUGAGAUUAUAUCAGGGGCCUAACCGAAGCGCCAGUGAACGGCGGCCGUAACUAUAACGGUCCUAAGGUAGCGAAAUUCCUUGUCGGGUAUGUUCCGACCCGCACGAAAGGCAGAAUGACAUGGAGACUGUCUCGGAGAGGGGCUCGGUGAAAUUGGGAUGUCCGUGAAGACACGGAUUACCUGCAUCAGGACAGAAAGACCCCGUGGAGCUUUACUGUAACUUAGCUUUGGAUUUCGAUGAAGUUUGCGCAGUAUAGGUGGGAGGUGUUGAUGCCUUGACUUCGGUUGGGGCGGAGCCAUCAGUGAGAUACCACCCUUGUUUCGUUGAAGUUCUAACCCGGAAAGUGUAUUUUCGGAAACAGAGCUAGGCAGGCAGUUUGACUGGGGCGGUUUUCUCCUAAAUUGUAACGGAGAAGUUCAAAGGUUCCCUCAGGACGGUUAGAAAUCGUCCGUGGAGUGUAAAGGCAUAAGGGAGCUUGACUGCGAGACGUACAUGUCGAGCAGGGACGAAAGUCGGACUUAGUGAUCCGGUGGUACAGUAUGGAACGGCCAUCGCUCAGCGGACAAAAGUUACCCCGGGGAUAACAGGCUUAUCUCCUCCAAGAGUUCACAUCGACGAGGAGGUUUGGCACCUCGAUGUCGGCUCGUCACAUCCUGGAGCUGGAGCAGGUUCCAAGGGUUGGGCUGUUCGCCCAUUAAAGUGGUACGUGAGCUGGGUUCAGAACGUCGUGAGACAGUAAAAAAAGUGGACUUUGCUGUCUAUAAAUUUGACUAAAUGCUGGAAAGUCUGGUUAGAUUUCGUGCUACCAAUGAGGUAAAAUAUCUCAGAGGUAAAAAUGCAUGAAUGCAGACAAUCAGCAGGAAAGACUAACAAUAGGUUUUUACAUCGCAGGUUUUACAGAUGGAGAAGGGAGUUUUCACGUCGCCUUUGAAAAAAGGCCAAGCGUGACACUCGGUUGGCAAAUCAUUCCAGAGUUUCAUAUCAGCCAACACAAAAAUGAUUUAAAACUACUCCACUUUAUUCAAAAAUAUCUAGGUUGUGGGACAAUUCGUCCAAACCAUAGAGGAAACCAAGGUGAUGAAAAUCAGGUUUUGGUAGUAAGAAACCGAAAAGAUUUGACAAAUCUUAUCAUUCCAUUCUUUAUGAAGUUUAAGCUUCGCUCAUCUAAAGCCAAAGACUUCGAAAAGUUUAAAACAAUCUUGGCAUUACUAAAUAAAGAUUGUCAUAAAACAAAAACUGGCUUUAACAAAAUUGUAGAGCUAGCUUAUGCUAUGAAUAAAAAUGGAAAGUAUCGGAAAAGAAAUAAACAUAUAUUGUUAGAAUCCUCAGAGACUAUACGUCAAACAACUAAAACCAAAUAGUUGAAGAUAUAGUCCGAACUGCAUGGCGACAUGCAGAAUCAGUUAGAAAUAAUUGAUCCUUUGUAAUAAACAAAGAGUAACAUAAUUGUCGGUCCAUAUCCGGUGCAGGCGCAGGAUUUUUGAGGAAGGCUCUUCCUAGUACGAGAGGACCGGAAGGGACGAACCUCUAGUGUACCAGUUGUGUCGCCAGAUGCAAACGCUGGGUAGCUAUGUUCGGUCGGGAUAAACGCUGAAGGCAUCUAAGCGUCAAGCCCAUUCCAAGAUUAGAAAUCCCACCCCCUCGGGGGGGGUAAGAUCACUUGUAGACUACAAGUUUGAUAGGCUGGAGGUGUAAGCACAGUAAUGUGUUCAGCUGACCAGUACUAAUCGAUCGAGGACUUGAUCCU